rnacentral:rRNA from 1 species
GAUGAACGCUAGCGGCAGGCUUAAUACAUGCAAGUCGUGGGGCAGCAGGUUUGUAGCAAUACAGAUGCUGGCGACCGGCAAACGGGUGCGGAACACGUACAGAACCUUCCUUUGAGCGGGGAAUAGCCCAGAGAAAUUUGGAUUAAUACCCCAUAGUAUAAUGAAGUGGCAUCACUUUAUUAUUAAAGAUUUAUCACUCGAAGAUGGCUGUGCGGCUGAUUAGGUAGUUGGCGGGGUAAAUGCCCACCAAGCCUGCGAUCAGUAACUGGUGUGAGAGCACGACCAGUCACACGGGCACUGAGACACGGGCCCGACUCCUACGGGAGGCAGCAGUAAGGAAUAUUGGUCAAUGGAGGCAACUCUGAACCAGCCAUGCCGCGUGGAGGAUGAAGGUCCUCUGGAUUGUAAACUUCUUUUAUAUGGGACGAAAAAAGGCUUUUCUAAGUCGUCUUGACGGUACCAUAUGAAUAAGCACCGGCUAAACUCCGUGCCAGCAGCCGCGGUAA